rnacentral:lncRNA from 1 species
GAGAAAACAAGAAAAGAGAAGCGAAAUCAGUGUGAAAGGGUGCAGAGGGAUGAUGUGUGUGGAACUGCUGUGAUCGUAUCACAGAACUCACGUUUGCUGCCUUCUUUUCCUGGAAAUACUGAACCUGACUCAUCGUUUCUGCCUGCUGGGGCUGAAGGCACCGGUGGCUCCAGCAGCCAGGAACAACUCUCCAGAAGGAAGGUGUCUUACCUGGGAGAAAGGGCAAUAAAACAGUGAAUAGAUUCAUCCCUCUGUGCCCUGUAUUGCUGAGGACUUUGCCGGUACAGCUGCAAACAUGAGAUUCCAUGAGCAGGCUGGUUUUGUCCUUAUUUUUAGUGCUUGUUCCCCCCGAGGAAUGUUCUGCUGCACAAGUCAUUCCUGGUGCUACUUCUGAGAGUGAGUGGGGCUCUUCUCCCAGCAUGGUAGUGCCAAAAUCCCCCUCCACCACCAGCAGCAGCCCAUUAGAAUCAUAGAAUAGAAUCAUAGAAUGGUUUGGGUUGGAAAGGACCUGAAGAUCAUCUGAAGAUCAUCCUGCCACGGGCAGGGACACUUUCCACUAGAGCAGGUUGCUCCAAGCCCCGUCCAACCUGGCCUUGAACACUGCCAGGGAUGGGGCAGCCGGCGCCUCAGCACCCUCACAGGGAAGAACUUCCUUGUUUCUAACCUAAAUAUCCCGUUUAAGUUUGAACAUAAACAAAGCUUUCUAUUCC